ACGUACACUCCUACGGGAGGCAGCAGUGGGGAAUAUUGCACAAUGGGCGCAAGCCUGAUGCAGCCAUGCCGCGUGUAUGAAGAAGGCCUUCGGGUUGUAAAGUACUUUCAGCGGGGAGGAAGGCGAUAAGGUUAAUAACCUUGUUGAUUGACGUUACCCGCAGAAGAAGCACCGGCUAACUCCGUGCCAGCAGCCGCGGUAAUACGGAGGGUGCAAGCGUUAAUCGGAAUUACUGGGCGUAAAGCGCACGCAGGCGGUCUGUCAAGUCGGAUGUGAAAUCCCCGGGCUCAACCUGGGAACUGCAUUCGAAACUGGCAGGCUAGAGUCUUGUAGAGGGGGGUAGAAUUCCAGGUGUAGCGGUGAAAUGCGUAGAGAUCUGGAGGAAUACCGGUGGCGAAGGCGGCCCCCUGGACAAAGACUGACGCUCAGGUGCGAAAGCGUGGGGAGCAAACAGGAUUAGAAACCCCGGUAGUCCCAU
rnacentral:rRNA from 1 species